GAGCACCCCCAACUCCGGUUUAGACUUCCCUUGCAGGUCCCGACGGCGGCCGUGGUCAUCUCGACUCCAGCAACUCCGGCUUCGACGGAAUUCUGCACCAAUAGAAUUGGCGCUAGAGGAAGGAUCUGUGUCUUCGCAAUACCCUUGUUCUUGAAGGAGUGCUCAACGGGACUGUCUCCAGUCAUCUCCUCCGACGUCCUCCUCUCCUUCUCCUAUUAGAUCUCCACCUGAUGCC
rnacentral:lncRNA from 1 species